AAAGGAUGCACUUUCAUGUUUAACAAAAUAAAUUAAAUAUACGGGGCUUCAGCUCAAACUCUACAUAAAAUUACAGAGAUCUGGGGCCACCACGACAGUGGGGUGGGGGGUGGUGUCUGGCCUGGACGGGGUGUGGUCAUCAGCAUGGCUGAAAGACCAGGCGGGUCCCGGGCCCCAGGAGAGACCACAGUCCCUGCAACCCAGUCUUCCUUCCAUCAUUAUUAAUAUUAUCUUCAUUUCUUAAAUAUAAAUACCAAGGCCCCUUCUCUGUGUCAGGGGGAGAAUGCAGUGGGGGUGAGCCACUAGCCAUGGGCUCCAGCCUCUCAGGCUUGGGGCUGCUGUGCCCCCAGCCCCAGCCCACAGCAGUAGGGGACUCCUGGGCACCCAAGGCAGGUGGCAAAAAUAGCCGCCAAGGCCAGGGGACAGAGGCGGGGACUGAGGCGGGGACAGAGGCGGGCAGAGUUGGGGGAGUGACGGUGGAGCAGGGAGAGUCCCUCAUCAACUAUGAGCCUCACGGCACACGUACUGCAGGCCUCACGGCACACCCUCCCAAAAGCAUGUCAGUCUGCGUGUGUCCAGGCAGCAUAGCUGCACCUGUGUGUGCAUGUGUGUCCGGAAGUGUGUGCCCAGGCAGCAUAUCUGCAUGUGUGUGUGCGUGUGUAUCCGGACAGCAUAUCUGCACGUGUGUGCAUGUCCAGACAGCAUAUCUGUGCACGUGUGUGUGUCCAAGCAAUAUCUGCACAUGUGUGUGUGUCGAGGCAGCAUAUCUGUGCACGUGUGUGUCCGGAUACCAUAUCUGCACGUGUGUGCGUGUGUCCAGAUAGCAUAUCCGUGUGUGUGUGUGUCCAGGCAGCACAUCUGCACAUGGGUGUGCGUGUGUGUAUGUUCAGGCAGCAUGUCCUUGUACUGGCAUGUCUCUGUGCGUGUGCGUGCGUUUGGGCAGCUUAUCUGUGUGCCCAGGCGGCAUAUCUGUGCAUGUGCGUGUGUGCGUACAUGUGCCUUCAGGGAGCAUGUGUGUGCGCAUGUGUGUGCAUACAUGCAUCCAGGCAGUGUGUGUGUCUGUGUGUGUGUGUCCAGGGGCUAUGCCUCACACACAGACUGCCUGGGGUGCUGGCCAUUCCUCCUCGCCAUGGGUCCCCUGCCUUCAUCUGCAGCUCCAUCCUCCAUCCUCCCAGUCUGCCUGUCUGGCCGGCCCCCCCGUGCCCACUGCAGAUACGGUGGCGUCUAGCACUGAUAGUGGAUGUGCUGGUGGACCUUGCCCUCCACGUGUGAGUGUGUGUGAGAGUGUGUGUGUGUGUGUGUGUGGAUGUCUGUGUAGAGUUUGGGGUACAACUUAGGGCCAGCAACUGGGCCUGGGCCCAGUAAGUGCUGGGGGGCUGCCGGAGACCCAUGCUCCUCACACAGCCCCACACCAGGGCCAGCGCUGAGGGCGGCCAACGAGGGAAGGUCCUUGUCUCCG
rnacentral:lncRNA from 1 species